AUAAAUAUGCAAAGAAGUAAAAAGCUAACUUUUUCAAACAAUAAGGCUUCUCUCUCACUUACCAACUUCACAUUUCCCUGUAUGGCCCCGGAAGAUGACUGGUUACCCAGAGACGGGUAAGAUUCCUCAAGGGAGGAACAACCUAAGACAGGCACAGUCGCAGGGGGGCCAUCAGGUGAGAAAUUGGGGAUCAACAGAGGUGAGGCUUAGAACCUCAACCCCCCGUUCUGAGAGAAAUCUUCUGCAUACGUGGAUGUUUUAUUGCCCUUGUCUAGCUUGGAUUAACACAUAGUCUACAGGCACACACCUGAUCAUCUACAUGUGCUCUCUUACAACACUAAACUAUGUUUUCUACCUUUAUCUUGUAUCUACCUACCACUUCAGCAUUUUAUUAAAAAUAAUAAUAAUAAAGAGAGAAAUGUGGUAUCCACAUAUAAAUCAAGUAUAAAAAUCAAAUCAGUAUUCAUAUUUGAACUGACUGUUUAUAGUUCAUAAUGCAUGAGCAAAACCGAAACCUCUGUGAUGACUGCCCUUGUAAUGUUCACCAUGUAACUUAUUCACUAUGUAAGAAUUUGUUCUCCAUGUAAGAACUUGUUCAUUAUGCUUCAGAAGAUUGGAGACUGAUGAAAAUUAGGCUUGGGGUAGAUUAAUGAUUGUGCAUUGAGCAUUGACCCCCCUAUAUAGAAUUUAUUAUUGUU